rnacentral:lncRNA from 1 species
GCCCUCACUCUCCACAACCAUAUCCUGGUUUCAGACCCCCAGGAAAUGAUUCUCUGUCCCUUGCAAAUGCUGCACUGCCCGGCCAGUGUGAGUGGCAGCGACCUCAGGGCCCUGAGGGAAGACUCGCCUGCAUUUUAACAAAACAAAACUGCAUUUAAAAUAAGAAAUGGACUCUCUACCCACAGCAGGCAAAGUCAGCCAGUUUCAAACAAAUUAUGAGAGCAAGUAUCAAGAAGAACAAUGACAGGCCACAUACUUAGGUGGUUCCCACCGGGGAAGAAGACCAGAGAGAGUAUACUCCCUGCACUCUGGAUUUUCAGUACAUUGUAAGAAUAUUCUGGUAUUAAAUGCAGUUAAUACA